UCAGCUGAACUGAAAAAUCUAGUUUUCCCCAGCCCAUCCUGCCAGUGCGAUCCCCCUGCCCUCAGGAGAAGUGUCCUGCAGUGUUUGUGAAAUGAGUCACGGAGUGCCAAUGAGUCAUCCUGUUCAAACCGCCUGGUUUGCAGUGCAACCUACCGAUUGACAGGUGGAAUUUGGAGUGCGGCUCUUUAGGGGAAAGUACAAGCAGCAACCCAAGGAAACUUCCCAUGCAUGGAGCAGCGCUAUGGAUGCGCGGGGGGAUCACGACUACAAAAGCAUAGCACUCAAAGCCUGUGAUUUGCCUCCCAGGUAGGAACCAGGACAGUCUCAAAGCAGACGUUGCUCUGGAGAUAUGAAGAAGCCUAACAGAAGCUCUCAGAAGAAUGUGAGUGAGAUCUCAGGAUAACUAACAUGACAGCCAUGCAACAUCCCAUUUCUG